UACGUAGGGUGCGAGCGUUAAUCGGAAUUACUGGGCGUAAAGCGUGCGCAGGCGGUUCGUUAAGUCAGCUGUGAAAGCCCUGGGCUCAACCUGGGAAUUGCAGUGGAUACUGGCGAGCUAGAGUGCGGUAGAGGAUGGUGGAAUUCCCGGUGUAGCGGUGAAAUGCGUAGAGAUCGGGAGGAACACCCGUGGCGAAGGCGGCCAUCUGGACCAGCACUGACGCUGAGGCACGAAAGCGUGGGGAGCAAACAGG
rnacentral:rRNA from 1 species